CAGCCGUAAACUAUGCUCGCUAGGUGUCAGGGACGGUGCGACCGUUUCUGGUGCCGCAGGGAAGCCGUGAAGCGAGCCACCUGGGAAGUACGGUCGCAAGGCUGAAACUUAAAGGAAUUGGCGGGGGAGCACUACAACGGGUGGAGCCUGCGGUUUAAUUGGACUCAACGCCGGAAACUCACCGGGGGCGACAGCAAUAUGUAGGUCAAGCUAAAGACUUUACCGGAUUAGCUGAGAGGAGGUGCAUGGCGUAGACGUCU
rnacentral:rRNA from 1 species